rnacentral:tRNA from 1 species
AAGGCCUUAAGUUAAAUCAAACUAAUAACCUUCAAAGCUAUCAAUAAAGAGAUUAUCUUUAGGCCUUA